CGUACACUCCUGCGGGAGGCAGCAGUGGGGAAUAUUGGACAAUGGGCGCAAGCCUGAUCCAGCCAUGCCGCGUGAGUGAUGAAGGCCCUAGGGUUGUAAAGCUCUUUUGUGCGGGAAGAUAAUGACGGUACCGCAAGAAUAAGCCCCGGCUAACUUCGUGCCAGCAGCCGCGGUAAUACGAAGGGGGCUAGCGUUGCUCGGAAUCACUGGGCGUAAAGGGUGCGUAGGCGGGUCUUUAAGUCAGGGGUGAAAUCCUGGAGCUCAACUCCAGAACUGCCUUUGAUACUGAAGAUCUUGAGUUCGGGAGAGGUGAGUGGAACUGCGAGUGUAGAGGUGAAAUUCGUAGAUAUUCGCAAGAACACCAGUGGCGAAGGCGGCUCACUGGCCCGAUACUGACGCUGAGGCACGAAAGCGUGGGGAGCAAACAGGAUUAGAUACCCGGGUAGUCC
rnacentral:rRNA from 1 species